rnacentral:lncRNA from 1 species
AUCAUGACAUAAAAUCAUGCAUAGCUUAUGUCGUUGACAUAAAUUCCGUUGCAUAAAAAUAUUUCUGUAUUGUUUUAGCUUAUGUCAAGUUAUCACGCGAUAUACAUAAACUGAAUAGUCAUGAACGAGCCUGUUGACAUAAACUUGGCAUAAGUUGUCAUUUUUCAGCCGCAGGAAGCUCUUGCGAAAAAGGGUCUUCGGCUUCCUAUUUGGACGGGAAAGAGGCAUAUUUUGGUGACCCACACAAACGGUGAGAAGAGGUAGAGAGAGAAAGGGGCACAGCAACUGAAAGGAGAGGGAAGUCCAGACACUCUACCACGGUCUGCCAUUGAAUAAGAAGUCUCUCUUUGGAUCAGGGGGUCAAGCUUCUAGUAUGAAGAUUGUUCAAGAGUCAAGACUGUUGAAGAGGUGACGUCAUGGACCUGGUAGCACCUGGCAAGGGAACUAUAUUACUGUUCAUAAAUCUAUUACUCAAGUAUCCUAAAAACGCUUUAAAAAUUUGAACAUUAACAAAAGUACUAAUUUUCAUUUUUCAAAGAUAAUAAUUAUAUUGACAUUGUGAAUAUAUUUUAUGAUUAUCAUAAAAUUAUUAUAAUGUAAAUGAUGAUAGGUCAUACUAAUACCAAUGAACAAUAAGUAGAAAAAAAGACAACCAAGAAGGAGGAGGAAAAGAAGAAAAAGAAGAGGGGUGGAAGAGGAGAAAAGGAGAAGAAGAAUAAAUUACAACACUGAGUUCCUCUUCAUGAUAUUACAGAAAUCUUCAUCUUUAAGUGGAAAUAUUUAUGAAUAAUAUAAUAUAUAAUGUAUGAAAAAUACAUUUUAUUUAAAUCCAAGUUCCACUUUUAAUCAUGUUUAUAAAGUCAUAGGACAGGUGACAAGAUAACAUUGUUUCACAAAUUUUAGUGUGUAUUUAUUU